ensembl:lncRNA
AUGUCAUUUUGUGGGUAUUUCCUCACAGCUUUGAUCAUCCUCAAGCAGCAUUUUAGUGAUGCUGAAUACACUUUUCCUCCGGUUCCUACACUGACCCAGACAGACACCAGAGACUCGUCUGUGGAGUUGUUGUGUCAGGCUCCAGAAGGUUAUGGUGGACUUGUAUUUAAACUUUUCAAAGUGCAUCAACUGAUAGAUGAAGUUGAGAAUUUAAACGAACAGCAAGGGGCUCGCUUCAUUCUUAGGGGAAAAGAUACAGAAAAAGAGAAUCUGUAUUGCUGUCAGUAUGACAACAGCAUAAUCAGUCACUAUAUGAAUCCAGACCCGCAAGUAGUCUCAGUCAGUCCCCCUCCAUCCCCUCACCUGGUGGUCGAGCCCUCUAGUGGGCAUGUCAUUCCUGGUGCCACACUGUCAUUCCACUGUCAGGCUCCAACUGACGCUCAGAAACAGCCUCCUGAGGCUUUUCUUCUGCUCCGGAGAGCCACAGGAAACCCCGGCUCCAUGGUUGCUUCAGCACAGCUGGUGUCUCAGUCCCAUGAAGCUAACUUCAGUGUGAAGACAAUGGGACAGGAGGAUGGUGGGGAGUAUGUCUGCCUCUACCAACUCAAAUCAUCAAAGAUGGGACAAGUGAACUCCACAGCCAGUCAGCCGGUACACAUUACUGUCAUAGAGCUCCCAGUCCCCACUCUGUCCUUGUCCCGACACCAGGGUGAAGUUCUGGAGUGUGUUGGGUCACCCUCAUAUCCACAAGGCUUCUUCUAUUUAUUUCGUGUGGGUGUCCUGUCACCUGAGGCGACCCAUCAGGCUUCCCUGACCAAACACAGUGCUAGAUUUCCCAUACCCACCCAUUAUGAACAAGGUGCACAGUAUCAGUGUCAGUACACCGUGUCACUGGGCAAAUUCAAAGUAAACUCUAAAAUGAGCUCACCAGUAACUAUCCCAUGCAUUACAGGAUAUCAUGAAUGCACACCGACCUCUACAGGCAGCACAGAUCUGGCUCUGAUUGUUGGCUCUGUGUCUGCGGGUGUUCUGUUCCUGAUGGUGGUGGCAAUCUUGGGUUUUGUCAAGCACAGACAUCUCAAAAACAUGUCAAAGAGAAGGAGACAAAGAGAUCAUACUGUUGGUAAGUCACAGUCUCAAUCUCUUCAGAGCAAAUAA